UGUCUUUGGACUGGGGGAGGAAACCGGAGUACCCGGAGGAAACCCCUGCAGCACGGGGAGAACAUGCAAACUCCACACACACAGGGCAGAGGUCGGGAAUCGAACCCCCAACCCUGGAGGAAGAGAAGUCACAUUGCAGCAGUCACACAGCUGCUCAGAAAUUGAGACGGAAAACAUGUGAGAGGGCGAAGCGAAAAAGCCUGAGAGUGAGAGCUACAUCGAGGGAAAGGAAGUGGAAAUGCAUGUGGGUGAGUGUGUUAGGGCUGUGAGGGAGGACCGGCUUACUCUGGUUUGCGCUGCUUUUUCG
ensembl:lncRNA